rnacentral:rRNA from 1 species
ACACAUGCAUCGAACGGUAAGGCCCCAGCUUGCUGGGGUACACGAGUGGCGAACGGGUGAGUAACACGUGGGUGACCUGCCCCGCACUUCGGGAUAAGCCUGGGAAACUGGGUCUAAUACCGGAUAGGACCGCACCGUGAGGGUGUGGUGGAAAGAAUUUCGGUGUGGGAUGGGCCCGCGGCCUAUCAGCUUGUUGGUGGGGUAAUGGCCUACCAAGGCGGCGACGGGUAGCCGGCCUGAGAGGGUGGACGGCCACAUUGGGACUGAGACACGGCCCAGACUCCUACGGGAGGCAGCAGUGGGGAAUAUUGCACAAUGGGCGGAAGCCUGAUGCAGCGACGCCGCGUGGGGGAUGACGGCCUUCGGGUUGUAAACUCCUUUCACCAUCGACGAAGGUUUUCUGACGGUAGAUGGAGAAGAAGCACCGGCUAACUACGUGCCAGCAGCCGCGGUAAUACGUAGGGUGCGAGCGUUGUCCGGAAUUACUGGGCGUAAAGAGCUCGUAGGUGGUUCGCGUCGUCUGUGAAAUUCCGGGGCUUAACUCCGGGCGUGCAGGCGAUACGGGCAUAACUUGAGUACUGUAGGGGAGACUGGAAUUCCUGGUGUAGCGGUGAAAUGCGCAGAUAUCAGGAGGAACACCGGUGGCGAAGGCGGGUCUCUGGGCAGUAACUGACGCUGAGGAGCGAAAGCAUGGGUAGCGAACAGGAUUAGAUACCCUGGUAGUCCAUGCCGUAAACGGUGGGCGCUAGGUGUAGGGGUCUUCCACGACUUCUGUGCCGUAGCUAACGCAUUAAGCGCCCCGCCUGGGGAGUACGGCCAUGCAAGGCUAAAACUCAAAGGAAUUGACGGGGGCCCGCACAAGCGGCGGAGCAUGUGGAUUAAUUCGAUGCAACGCGAAGAACCUUACCUGGGCUUGACAUAUACGGGACCGGGCCAGAGAUGGUCCUUCCCUUGUGGCUCGUAUACAGGUGGUGCAUGGUUGUCGUCAGCUCGUGUCGUGAGAUGUUGGGUUAAGUCCCGCAACGAGCGCAACCCUUGUCUUAUGUUGCCAGCACGUAAUGGUGGGGACUCGUGAGUUUCUGCCGGGGUCAACUCGGAGGAAGGUGGGGAUGACGUCAAAUCAUCAUGCCCCUUAUGUCCAGGGCUUCACACAUGCUACAAUGGUCGGUACAGUGGGUUGCGAUGCCGUGAGGUGGAGCUAAUCCCUGAAAGCCGGUCUCAGUUCGGAUCGGGGUCUGCAACUCGACCCCGUGAAGUCGGAGUCGCUAGUAAUCGCAGAUCAGCAACGCUGCGGUGAAUACGUUCCCGGGCCUUGUACACACCGCCCGUCACGUCAUGAAAGUCGGUAACACCCGAAGCCAGUGGCCCAACCCUUGUGGGGGGAGCUGUCGAAGGUGGGAUCGGCGAUUACGGGGACGAAGUCGUAACAAGGUAGCCGUACCG